rnacentral:rRNA from 1 species
GAUGAACGCUGACAGAAUGCUUAACACAUGCAAGUCGACUGGAAUUUGGGUUUUUAACUUAGGUUUGGGUGGCGGACGGGUGAGUAACGCGUAAAGAACUUGCCUCACAGCUAGGGACAACAUGUGGAAACGAAUGCUAAUACCUAAUAUUAUGAUAAUAGGGCAUCCUAUAAUUAUGAAAGCUAUAAGCGCUGUGAGAGAGCUUUGCGUCCCAUUAGCUAGUUGGAGAGGUAGCGGCUCACCAAGGCGGUGAUGGGUAGCCGGCCUGAGAGGGUGAUCGGCCACAAGGGGCCUGAGACACGGCCCUUACUCCUACGGGAGGCAGCGGUGGGGAAUAUUGGACAAUGGACCGAGAGUCUGAUCCAGCAAUUCUGUGUGCACGAUGAAGUUUUUCGGAAUGUAAAGUGCUUUCAGUUGGGAAGAAACAAAUGACGGUACCAACAGAAGAAGUGACGGCUAAAUACGUG